CGCGGCCUCGAUUGCGGCCACGUCGAUCUUCUUCAUGGUCAUCAUCGCUUCGAACGCGCGUCUGGCUUCCUCGCCGCCCUUGGCCAUCGCGUCCGUCAGGACACGCGGCGUGAUCUGCCACGNNNNNNNUUGCACCAGCCGCAGGCGCUUUCCUGGCCGCCGUUGCCGACGAUGGCGUUCCAGUAUUUGUCAGUCUCCGCCUGAUCGUCGGUCGCGAUGCAGAUCGAGAACG
rnacentral:misc_RNA from 1 species